GAUGAACGCUGGCGGCGUGCCUAACACAUGCAAGUCGAACGGAGUUUACAUGAAACCUAGUGAUUGUAAACUUAGUGGCGGACGGGUGAGUAACGCGUGGGUAACCUGCCCUGUACUGGGGGAUAACACUUAGAAAUAGGUGCUAAUACCGCAUAAGCGCACAGUGCCGCAUGGCACAGUGUGAAAAACUCCGGUGGUACAGGAUGGACCCGCGUCUGAUUAGAUAGUUGGUGAGGUAACGGCCCACCAAGUCAACGAUCAGUAGCCGGCCUGAGAGGGUGAACGGCCACAUUGGGACUGAGACACGGUCCAGACUCCUACGGGAGGCAGCAGUGGGGAAUCUUCCGCAAUGGGCGAAAGCCUGACGGAGCAACGCCGCGUGAGUGAAGAAGGUCUUCGGAUCGUAAAGCUCUGUCUUCAGGGACGAUAAUGACGGUACCUGAGGAGGAAGCCACGGCUAACUACGUG
rnacentral:rRNA from 1 species